GGCUUUAUAGUAUAAAAAUACAUUGGAUUGCAAGUCUAAAGAUGUGUAGAGCACUAGGGCUU
rnacentral:tRNA from 2 species